UGUUUACUGCUGGGUCUAAAGAUCAAAUUUAUGAUUGGCCUGCAAUUACUAUUUUUACACAAAGUGUGUUUAUUAACCAAUGACUCUUGUAAAACUAUCAUCCAAAUUGGGCAGAGUUCCAUGUGGUGGAACUGGGAGAAUUCCAGUGGAUGGAAAGGGCGUAGGAAGCACCGAGCGAAGAUCUUUGGCAUUUACAAAAACAUUUCGACCCGCCCAAUGUGGAAGGAAACCGGAGCACCCGGAUAAAACCCACGCUGUCGCAGGGAGAACGUACGAAUUCUGUCUACAGACAACACCCUUAGUCAGAAUCGAACGGAGUAUCUGGCGCUCGAAGGCAGCAACACUAUUGAUGGUUUGAAACUUUAACAGAUAUCGGAAAAAUGAUCUGGUAUGGGAGACUGUUUGUGUUAAUGUUAAUACUCACUGUGAUGGUACUGGGCGCAAUACUUCUGGGCAACUCUGAGAAUAGCGAUGAAAGGGAGCCGAUAACAAUGAACAUUCCCAUUUUUGCAAUCGUCAUUUCCUGCUUGGGUGCAUUAAUACUGGGAGGAUUUAUAGUGUAUUGCAUAAGAAGAAGAUGCCAUCGUUGCCGUCAUCGAUCAGUUACAUCGAAAAUUAAGAGAUUUUUCCGCAAGCGCUGCCGUUGCAAGAGGUAUGCGUGCCGACGCGUCAAGUGAAUGAAGAACAACCUCUAACGCUACAAGCAAAGAGACAUAAAGAUGCAGUGAGCAGCAACAAGAGGCACAACAAGAAAUAACUUAAUAAUUUUCAUCUUUAACGUUUAAAUUGGUGUUAUAUUUUAAGAGUCAUUCACAUUUUAAACUUUAAUAAAUCCUUUUU